CACAAACGCAUCUCUUUCCUUGAAUCAUAUUAUUAUAUAGGAACCACUCUUGGGCUCUUGAAAAUCUUACGAUCGAACUGCCGCCCGGUAUCGUCUACUUAAUCAACCAUACAUUCAUUUUCCCUCCUCCGGCUACACACGACACCCCUUACUGGAAUGUCACACUACAUGGUGAGUUUACCACCGCCUCCACUUUUUCAAUUAUAUCACCUAACACAUCCACACCACCAACAUUCCCACACACCUGAAUAUGGAAAAUACCGACUUUACCUAAAAUCAAAUAUUUUCUCUCGCUUGUUAUGCACAACUCACUACCCACCUCCUACACCCUCUACAAACGGCGGAUCACCCCGUCCAUGAGCUGCUCACUAUGCAAUUACCACACUGAAAACAUCACUCAUAUCUUUUUUUCUGCAAACCUACUAUACAAAUUUGGAAAUACUUCCACAUCUCUCCACCAACAGUGGAUUUUCCCACAUGGAUACGCACUAAAUGUACCAUCACUACACACAUAAAGAUCAACACUCAAUUCACUCUACCCACACAUAUACUCAUCCCACUAAUACUUUGGCAAUUAUGGCUUACUCGAAAUCACAACUAUUUUCACUGCUCCUUCAAGCCCAUAAACCCGUGUAUCAUCAUAAACCUUGCCACGGAACAAUAUUUUCUCACUUCCACCCCCACUUGAUCACCUCGUACACUUAUUCCUAUCAAGUGGAAAGCUCCGCCCCCAUCACACAUUAAACUAAAUAUAGAUGGCACCUUCGACAACAUCAGUUGGACAUGAGGAUAAGAUGGAGUAUUUCGAGACUCCACUGGUGCUUGGCUUCAUGGAUAUACAAAAUACUUGCAUCACACGGACGCCUUGCAUGAAGAAAUCGUCGCUCUCUUCCAUAGUCUACGCAUUGUUAUUACUCAUAAUUAUCAACAUUUGAUAGUGGAAACCGACUCACAUGUAUUAAUUUCACUUCUACCACUAGGGAACAGAAAAUACUUAACUAUUUUACAUGGUUGCAGGUCAAUGCUACUUGAACUACAAGUGCCCAAGCUCCACCACAUCUUCAGGGAGGGUAAUGGCAUGACAGAUGCUUUGGCAAAAUAUGGCAAACAGCUACACCUUCACCACCAUCCAGAUGCAUUACUUUUUGAAACCCCCCCCCCCCCAUUUUAUUUUCUCGUCGUUAGAUUUUGAUGUAACAUGAGAUGUUGUAGGCUUUUAAGCUUAGUUUAGCUUAAAAGAGGGUGAAUGGAAAAUGGAGAAAAAAAUAAAAAUUUGAUUUUCC
rnacentral:lncRNA from 1 species